ensembl:lncRNA
UGGAAACUGAAUGGAUGUCCAUCAGUUGGAGAAUGGCUGAAUAAAUUGUGGUAUAUGAAUAUUAUGGAAUAUUAUUGUUCUGUAAGAAAUGACCAACAGGAUGAUUUCAGAAAGGCCUGGAGAGACUUACAUGAACUGAUGCUGAGUGAAAUGAGCAGGACCAGGAGAUCAUUAUAUAGUUCAGCAACAAUACUAUAUGAUGGCCAGUUCUGAUGGACCUGGCCAUCCUCAGCAAGGAGAUCAACCAAAUCAUUUCCAGUGGAGCAGUAAUGAACUGAACCAGCUAUGCCCAGAGAAAGAACUCUGGGAGAUGACUAAAAACCAUUACAUUUAAUUCCCAAUCCCCAUAUUUAUGCCCACCUGCAUUUUUGAUUUCCUUCACAAGCUAAUUGUACAAUAUUUCAGAGUCUGAUUCUUUUUGUACAGCAAAAUAACAGUUUGGUCAUGUAUACUUAUUGUGUAUCUAAUUUAUAUUUAAAUAUAUUUAACAUAUCCUGCCAUCUGGGCGAGGGGGUGGGGGGUAAGAGGUGAAAAAUUGGAACAAUAAGUUUGGCAAUUUUGUUAAUGCUGUAAAGUUACCCAUACAUAUAACCUGUAAAUAAAAGGCUAUUAAAUAAAAUUAAAAAAAAAAAGAAAGUUGGAGCAUGUCUCAGUUUCCAGGGAACUCCCUACAUUGCACACUGUUUUGCACACUUUUUUGUACCAUUGCAUUGCAAUAAAAAGUGGCCAAUAAGUACUCAACAUUUCUGAACUCUAUAGAUCAUUUGAAAAGCAAAUACAAGAAUGCAUACAUACUUUUAUUAUCACUUUUCCUUUUUUUUAAAAAAAAAAAAGAGUACAAUAUAUAGCCUUCCUUAUAAAGUUGACACAGUAGAAAAUACAAUCAGCACCUAUUAGGUCAAGGGUUUACUUCCAAACAUAAUAAAAUAUUAUAUCCCCAUUGAGUUUAUAGGGAACAAAUCAAAAUGUAUUUUUGGUUCAGGCUUUGCUUUGCUUUUAGACAGAAAAAAAAAAGCAAUAGAGAAUGGUGAAUUGUAUCCAGGCAGGCACCAAGAGUAGUUGGCUAUUUCAAGAUUUCAAAACAUUUUAAGUGUCUACUAAACUUUAGGGGUAAAAACAAAAAGGGAAAUAAAAAUAUCUUCUAACCUUAAGAGAUUUAUAUUGGUAACUUUAUAUGAGAAGAAAAGAUGGAUGGAGAGAUAGAGAUAGAGAUAUACAAAUAAAUAACAGUAUUGAAUAAGUGUAGUUGAAGAAAGCAAUAACAACUAAGGCAACAUGAAGAGUAUUCUGUAAGAAAAAGUAACUGAGUUGAACCUUGAAGGUAGCAAGAGGAUUCAAGUGGUAGAGGUGAAGAAGGAAAGCAUUUACUAAUUGUGAGAAAGUCUGGGCAAAGGCAUGGAGAAUGGAUUUGAAAUAUCGUAUACUGAGAAUAGCAGCUAUUUCUGUUUGAUUGGGAAAUAAAGUGUAUGAUGGAAAGUAACUUGAAUUAAAUAUAGAAGCCUGGUCAAUGGAACAUUCCUCUAUUUAUAUCCAAAAGACAUCUAGUGAUUUGGGACUGUAGCUCAAGAGUGAGAAUAAUUACAGUUGUUAUGAUUACAAAGAGAAUAUAAGUAAAGAAGAGAAAAGACCUGAGCUUGAGUCUGUAUACCCAUGCAAAAGCAAUUGAGAAGAAGCUGUCAGAGAAGUAUGGUCAGAAAUACCCAAAGAGAAAAGAGAAAGAGCCUUCAAGCUAGGUAAACAAGUUGUCAGCAAGCAUGAGCACUUAUGCCAGGCUCUGCACUAAGAGUUCAUCAACAGAGAAUGAAAAGAUGGAGAGAUAUAGAGAGGUCAAGAAGGAUGAGAAUUGAAAGGGGAAAUACAUAUGGUUUAGCAAUUAAGAGACAAUUUGAUGACCUUCAGAGUAAAUUCGGUUGAAUAAUAGGGUACGAAGUGAGAAUGCAAAUGAAUAAGAAGCAAAUUUUAGGGAAGAACUAAAAGUAGUAAAUAAUUUAUAUUUUAGCCAUAAAAGGUAUAAAGAUAAAAAAAUAAAUGAAAGGAGAGCAGGGUGAUAUGAAGCAAGAAUGGAAGAGAUAUGAGCAUUUUUACAAACUGCAGGAAAAAAAAUACCAGGGAUAGAUAUUGAUUAUUGGAUUAUAAAAAGGAAAUAAAGAGGUGAUCUUCAAAGAAGUGAGGAAGAGAGAGAAGAAUCAUAUCAAAACUAAAGUAGAAGAAAGAGCCACCUUUUCCUCAGAUUCUAAAAUAAAGGAACAGAGAAUAGGUAACAAUGUUAAACAAAUUUGAUAUGAAGAUUAGGUGAAAAAGAAGCAAUUGAUGUUUUCUCAGUAAAAUAUAUGGCAUGAUCCUCUGCUGAGAUAAAGCAAAAAAUGGUAAAAUUAGUUUACAGAAAAGUUUCAUAUAGCUUCUAUAAAUUAAAUCUGGGAGUCAUUCUGGAAAGAGAAAAAAGCUUGCAUUCCAUCAAUACUUUAGCAGACACAUUAGCAUAGAUAUUUGAUUUUUUCUAGUAUUAAGUGUUUAUUGGCACCCAAAGACAAGACUUUUAGUCACUGCUUGUAUCAAUGCUCAUAAUUAGUAUUUGAGUUUAAAAAAAAGCCCAUCACUAAGAUAGCUGUAGCUUCUCUACCAAAAUCUGUAUAAAGAACAAAGCAAUGAUUGAUGAGUAAUUUAAUAAGAUCUUAUUAAUUUAUAUAAAAAUAAACAUUUAUAAUCAGAGAUUUUAAUGAAAAAAAGGAAAGAAGUAAGAAGGAUGAAAAAUGUUAGAAAUAAAGAUCAAAAUUAGGGAAUGAAUGAGGCAAAAAGGUGGUACAUCCACAGAAAACAUGCCUAUAUUAUUCAUUCUUUUUUUUUCCAGAAAAGAAAGGGGGAAAGCAAAGGGAAUAAACAUUUCUUAGUGCUCUUUAUAACCACCAUCUUCUCUGAUACGCAAAAUAAUCCUGUGAAGUAGGAGGUAUUAUCCUUUUUUUUUCCCUCAGUUGAAGAAACUGAAGCAGAGAUUAAAUGAUUUGCCAAGAGUUGAACAGUCAUGUAUAGGAUAAACUGAGUGAAGACUUCUCAUAAGGGUGUGGCUUCCAUAUAUGCCCUAAUUGUGACUUAAGACUUUCCAAUAACAAGUUGAGCUAUAGCUAAAAACUGCUGAUGUUCCAUUAUCUUAGAUAACCAAACAUUUCCCUCUUGUCUCUUCCCCCCCCCCCUUUUCAAAUUGGCAUUAAAAUGCCUAAUACAGUAAAGUUUGUUCUGGGAUCCAUAUUUAGUCCCUAGGUAAAUUAGAACCCUCCAGUCAAUGGCAGAAAAGAUCAAAGGGGCUUCUGGUUAGUGUGAAGGUCUGAAUCUCUGAAAAGCUGUACUUGAAUCUGAGACUACAGAGCACUUAAGGCUAAUUACCUAUUUGAUGUGAGAUAAUGGCUCUAUAUACAUAAAUUAGAUGAGAUGGUGCUGUGAUGGCUCUCCUCAUCAUAGGUGCUUGCUGAAUGUUUGGUGGUAAGGUAAUCAUAGACAAGAAUUGGAGGGCUAAGGGAGAGGGGUCAGAGUCACUUGGCUACAGGACAAGGAGGAGAGGGUCUGGAGACUCCAGACUCCAGAAUCCAGGAUAUAUCUUUGACAAGCUAUGUAGUAGCUUGCCUGCCUCCUUCACUUCUCCCCCUAAAUACCAAGGACUUGGAUUAACCUUGACUCUGACUGAUCCUGAGACACUGCAGGGAGCUAGACCAGUCAUUAUAGAUUAGGGUCUAUAUAAUCUUGUGUUUGCAGUUCACAAUUUACGCUUUGCACUUUUUUACUGACAAACACCUUCUCUAUUGGGAGUUGGUCUUCCUCACAAGGUCGUAAUAAACCCCUUUUUUUCCUUUCUUACUCUUAGAAUCUCUGAUUUUAAUUUGGAUUUACUGUCCCACAUGGGCAGAAAGUAUUUGACGCUAGAUUUGAACUUCUCUUCUUAACUCCAAUCCUUUUCAGCACUCAAUAUACGGCACCACCUAGCUCCUUCUAGAAAAGAAGAGAAAUGCAUUAAAUAUGGCAAGUAAGCAAAAAUAUAACACUUACACUCACACUCACACACAUACAUACACAUACAUACAUACACAUGCAUACACAAAAAAAAAUGAAAUCAAUUUAUUUUAGUAGACAGAUAAUGACCGAUAUUGGUAUGGGAGCGAAUACUGAAUCAAUGAUCUAAAUGGAGUAUGAAAAUUAUUGUUAAAGAUCAAAAUUACUACAAAACUGAAAAAAAGAAAAAGAUUUGGGAAAAGUUAUAGUAUAUAAUUUAAACUACUCCAUUUGAACCUAUUUACAUGAGCCAUUCAUGGUUAAAAAUGGGUCAUAGAUGAAAGAGAGGACAUAGACAUGCAAUAAACUAAUUUCUAAAGAAAUAUGUCUUGCUAUAAGAAAGAGACAAAAAAAAAAACUAAAAAAAUAUUUAGUCUUUGAACACCUAACUUCCUUGAUAAACAAAGACAUUGUAUUCAAGGGCAACAUCAAGUCAGAAAAUGAACUUGUUCAUAGAAUCUUACAUAGAAGAAUGAUUAUAUAAUAUGAAUAAUGUCACCUCAUUAAAUAGAGAGGAAGCUAUUCAGUAUAAAAGCAAUUUAAAGGUUGGGAAGAUAAACUACACUAAGUAAAAUCAUCCAAGGAUAAGGAUGAAAAUUGAAGGAAAAAUAGAAAAACUACAAUUUGAUGAGGAAGAAAGAAAGAAAGAAAAAAACAAAGAAACAAAGAAAGAAAAAGGCAGGCAGGAAGGAGGAAAGCAGGAAGGCAGGAAGAAGAGAGAGAAGGAAGGGGAAAGAGAUGGAAGAAAGGAGGGAUGGAGGAAAGGAAACAUAUCAACGCCUUUAUAUUAAUAAUACAUUUAAUAAUAUCAUUUUUAUAAUCAAUCCCUUUAACCAUAAGGCAUUUUGGAGAAUGCCACAUUUGAAUUUUAGCACCACAGACAGAGGAAAACACUUCUAGAUUAGGAUAUAGCAAAGAUCUAUGCCCUUUAUUUCACCUAAAGUGCAGCAUCAAAAUUUCUCUACCCCUCCUAGUUACUGCAACUGCUUCAGUUAAUUCUGGUUACUUACUAUCAAGAAGAAAAUUAAGUCCAUGAUAAACUUAAGCUAUACACUUGAAAAUAUAAAAUGAAGGAAAUUAGACCUGAUAAGUUUUUGUCAGCCGGUGGUCAGAAUUAUAAAAUUACAGUAUAUAUUUUAUCAACUUCAAUUGUAAAAUUGGCAUAAUAUGGGUUAUAGGGUUGUUUUGAGGAUGAAAUAAACAAAAUAAAACAAUGUACAAACCUCAGGGCACUUUAUCAAUAUUAAUUCUUGUUAUGAGCCAGAACUUGAAACAAGCUGUCAAGUUAUUAGACUUGAUAGAAACAAUGCUAGUUCACACAUUAGCUCACACAUUACUUCACACGUUUGGGAGAUAUCCAAGUUUAUACCUUCCACAAUCAAGGUGAUAACUCAAUGGAAUUGAUAGAAACAAUGCUUGUGUUAACACCUUUAGAGAGCUCAUAUAAGCAAGAAGCUCUUAGGGCCAAAGAGCACUCUGGGAGACUGAGAGUCAGAAGCCCUCUCUCGGAGGCAAGACAGACUCAUUCCAACUUUCACCUUUGUGGUGGCUGGAGACAUUUGGAGGGAGCUAGGGGCUGAAGCUCAAGACUUUAAAGGACACAAUAAAGAAUUUGGAUUUUAACUCCUGGCUGCAUUUGGAGUGAUUAUUACUUGGAACUGAAACAAAGGCUACCUCCAGAAAACCUCCCCAAGAAACCUGCUCUCACAGAGAACCAUUAUAUAUUAUUUAAAAAAAAACACCACAAGUUCUCAGUAUAUUUGGUUUUCAGGGGAAAAGUCUUAAGGCAUAACAGCAAAAAUGUAAUGACUGACAUUUAUGUAAUACUCUAUGAUUGAGAGACUGCUAUGUAUAUAUUAUUUCAUUUGAUCAUCAUUAAGACACUGAUAUAGAAAUUGUAUCAUUUAUACCAUUUUGCAGAUGUGGAAAUUGUAUCUCAAAGAACUGAAAUAAUUAACAAACAUGGUGAGUAAGUAGCAGUACCAAAGUGUGAAACAUCAUCUCACACAUAAUUCAAUCAAUUUCUAUAGGCACAAGCAAAUAAUACAUAAUCUUAAAGUUUUUUUUUUCCUGUAAAAACUAGAGAAUAGAUCCAUGAAGACCUUUAUCUAUUUUUUCUUCCUUCUUGUUUAGGGGCAGGUCAAUUUUCCAAGAGUCUCCACAGCUGUGGAUCAUAGCAGCUGAAAGAGUUGCAGGGCGGCCUUUGCUGAUACAGGUAUUGCGGAUUUGGAAUGGCAGAGGGAAGAGGAGAGAAGUCAGACAAUGCAACGGCCUCUCAGUCAGAGAGAUCAGAGAAUAGCAACUGCCUCUCAGUCUCUUUAUAUCAUCCUCUCACACAAAGAGAUCCAUUCUUCAGGUCUGGGUUGGAUCACCAGCAGCCACUGUCAGGUGGUUCCUGUAAUGUCAACACCUUCCUUCCUUCCUUCCUUCCUUCCUUUCCUCCUUCCUUCCUUCCUUCCUUCCUCUCUUCCUUCCUUCCUUCCUUCCUCUCUUCCUUCCUUCC